rnacentral:lncRNA from 1 species
GGUUCGAGAUCCUCCUCUCUGGCUCCGGGUUGCGCGCAGUGUCUGGGUGGCGAGCGAAUGGUGCCUGCGAUCUUCUGCCUCGGGGACCCGGCUGUCUUCCUUGUGCUAAAAAAACGGAGGAAGUCUGUCUGCCCCAGGGCUGAGGGUGGUGUCCAAAGGGUCUCCUCUCCUUGAGUGACUCUGGUUCCUCCAUUGGAUCUCAGCUCAUAGCUCCUGACCUCAAGCAAGUGCUACUGAAGUGGAAAUGUCUUAAAUCCUGUUUUGUGAUUCCCCGCCUCAGAGCU